ensembl:lncRNA
CUUUUCCACACGCAUGUGCGCGGCAGGCUCUCCUGUGUCAUCUGGCUGCAGUUUACAAACAGUCUGUCUCCCGUUACUGGACACCGCAGCUAUUCUGGCUUCCUCUUCCGAUGCAGAGUGUCCAGUCUCCAUGUUGAAGUCAGCAAGCCAAGGUCAAACAGCAAAUCCAUGAAAGCUGCAGAACACCGCAUACGAUCGCAUCGCAAAAUACAUUUCUACACUCUCGGAGUGAAGCAAAGACGUCAAAAAGAAGAUUGAGCAAUUUAUGCAGGUGGACUCGCCUCUGUUAUCAGUUUAAACAACAUACGCCACAGAUUGUGUCCGCUGGCCUCACAGCAACAUACCUGUGGGUCCACCUGCACUCCAUCCUUACAUGAGAAACUGUACCUGUCUAUAUUAUAUUCUCACACUGAGCCUCCAAAUCUUCAUAGCAUAAAUAUUUAUUUUAAGAAGGUACGAGCACGGUGCCAGCCAGGUUUCAAACAACUCAUAGACCAAUUACCCAUCAUCAAACGCGCACAUCUGCCAUCUAGUGGUAGAACAGCGUAAAUACAAACAAGAUAAGCGUUAUAUAGGAUUUGAAGCAUCAUUUGUUUUCUUUGCCCAGACAACAAAGAGGUCAUUUUAUUGAACUGGACUCAGAUUUGAACUGAUCUCAAUAAUUACGAAUAAAGUGGUGAAAUGUAUUUUAACGUCUGUCCGCAGCUGCUGAUGGCCGGCCAUCUAAAGGAGGAAUAAUGUACUUUCAUGAGUUGCUGCUGAAAAUUAGAAAAUAUCAGAGGAAUAAAGUCACUUUUGUUCAUUACUCUCAUCAUUGCAUCUGGGCAAUUUUGGAUCGUAAUCGUUUGGAAAUCCCUCUAACAAUUAAACCAAAAACUCCAGUCUAGCAGUAAUAAACACGUGGAUGGAUUCAGCAUCAGUUUAAGACACGGAGCUUCUUAAUAUUAUGCAAAUCUUAAUCUCCUCACAGUUGAACUGCUGGCUGAAGAAAUGCCCUCCAGAGUGAUGAUGUGGGUGGCAAAUCUAUUCCCGAAAUUUGGGUUUAACACCUGCCCCACAGAGGACUGCUCUGUUGAGCAAUUCCAAUAUAAAGGCAACAUCCCUUAGCCUACAACAGUGAUUAGGUUUCCAAAAAAAAAAAAAGAAAAAAGCUGGGUCUAGUUUUCAUGCAAACAUUGUGGGAGGAAAUGUGUCAAUUUGAUUUGUAGGUUUUUGCAUGGAAAUGGGAAAUGCAAAACCAAAGAUUGAGGUAAAAGACACAGAGCACCUAAAAAAAACACGUGAAAAAAAGUGAUGUGCGCCAUUUAAAGAAGCUGCUGAAGCUAAUCGGAUAGCAUUCCUGGUUUUAUUAAAAUGAUACCACCCGGUGAAUCAUCAACAGUCAUAACACACAAAAUAGACCGAAAAGGUAAAGGGGACCCCAUAUAUGCACAGAAAGCGGAUCCACAGAGGAGAUUUAAGAAAUCCAUUUAGUGUAUAAACAUGGGCUGUUGACUUUGGACUUCCUGAGAAUAUACACCACAAAUGUAAAUGUAGGUCAAUAUUUGAGGGCUCAUUUAACAUGAUUUGAACACCUUCAGCUGGGCGGAAAAGGGCCAGCACCAAUCAGACCUAUAUCUGGGCUUUUACGUAAUCUUGUAUACGAAUGAUGGACAGUGUUAAAGUGCUGCCUUUA